rnacentral:piRNA from 1 species
UGAUAAAGGUCCGAGGAGAUGAUUGUA